GCAUCCAGGUGACAUAGGAAAACAGCUAGUUGUCCUGGGAAAAUGUACCAUGGGACAUCUGACUCAAGGGGUUAUGUUGCUUAUGCAACUUAUCUAACCUCGAGUUGAUACUUCUAGUAUUGAGAGGCUUUUUAACUGUUAUCUCAUAUAAAAGCUUUAGUGCGACAUAGUUUUAUCUAAGCUCAAUGGGAUUGAACUACCAGACUCUUAAGAAAUUUUUUUUGCAAAUGGUUUCUCGUAACCAGUAAUUAACUUCAUUUAAAUGCCAAGUUUCAGAAUCUGGGUGAGAUGAUGGUUCUUGGCAGGAAUGAUGCAGCACUUUCUCCAAGUUUCAUUGAUGGGUUAACCUUGGAGGGUCCUAUUGGUCAUACAGCAAGGAAGAUAGCAUAAUUGAUCAGAUUACCAACCGAUGAACAUCGACUUAAAGUUGGAAUAAGUUGGCUAAUGAAAUCUGCCAUAGACUCUGCUGCAUCAUUGCAGAGCUCCCUAACCAAAGUUCUUUCAGGGUCUUAGAUCCAUUCAUGCUUUCAUCGAGGGGAAAUGAUGGAUAUAUCUGUGUACUAUUUUUUUUCCCUACUAAGGUUGCUGUAUUGUUGCUUAUGCAAUUGGUAAUAUAAAUACCAUGAAAGAUUCUAAUGAUUUUGCUAACAGCUUGCCAGUAAAUUUAAAUGGAGAACUGAGAUAAUUCACAUC